GAUGAACGCUAGCGGGAGGCUUAACACAUGCAAGUCGAGGGGUAACAUGAGGUAGCAAUACUUUGAUGACGACCGGCGCACGGGUGAGUAACGCGUAUGUAACCUACCUUGUACAGGGGGAUAGCCCGGAGAAAUUCGGAUUAAUACCCCAUAAUGAUAUCUGAAGGCAUCUUUAGGUAUUUAAAGUUUCGACGGUACGAGAUGGGCAUGCGUGACAUUAGCUAGUUGGUAAGGUAACGGCUUACCAAGGCUGCGAUGUCUAGGGGUCCUGAGAGGGUGAUCCCCCACACUGGUACUGAGACACGGCCCAGACUCCUACGGGAGGCAGCAGUGGGGAAUCUUGCGCAAUGCGCGAAAGCGUGACGCAGCAACGCCGCGUGGGGGAAGAAGGCCUUCGGGUUGUAAACCCCUUUCAGUUGGGACGAAGCUUCGCCGGUGAAUAGCCGGCCGGAGUGACGGUACCUUCACAAGAAGCCCCGGCUAACUACGUGCCAGCAGCCGCGGUAACAC
rnacentral:rRNA from 1 species